GAUGAACGCUGGCGGCGUGCCUAAUACAUGCCAGUCGAGCGAACAGACGAGGAGCUUGCUCCUCUGACGUUAGCGGCGGACGGGUGAGUAACACGUGGAUAACCUACCUAUAAGACUGGGAUAACUUCGGGAAACCGGAGCUAAUACCGGAUAAUAUAUUGAACCGCAUGGUUCAAUAGUGAAAGACGGUUUUGCUGUCACUUAUAGAUGGAUCCGCGCCGCAUUAGCUAGUUGGUAAGGUAACGGCUUACCAAGGCAACGAUGCGUAGCCGACCUGAGAGGGUGAUCGGCCACACUGGAACUGAGACACGGUCCAGACUCCUACGGGAGGCAGCAGUAGGGAAUCUUCCGCAAUGGGCGAAAGCUUGACGGAGCAACGCCGCGUGAGUGAUGAAGGUCUUCGGAUCGUAAAGCUCUGUUAUUAGGGAGGAACAAAUGUGUAAGUAACUAUGCACGUCUUGACGGUACCUAAUCAAAAAGCCACGGCUAACUACGUG
rnacentral:rRNA from 1 species